rnacentral:rRNA from 1 species
UACGGAGGGUGCAAGCGUUGUUCGGAAUCAUUGGGCGUAAAGCGCGUGUAGGCGGCUUGGCAAGUCGGUUGUGAAAUCCCGGGGCCCAACCCCGGAACUGCAUUCGAAACUGCCUCGCUAGAGUCCCGGAGAGGAAGGCGGAAUUCCCGGUGUAGAGGUGAAAUUCGUAGAUAUCGGGAGGAACACCAGCGGCGAUGGCGGCCUUCUGGACGGUGACUGACGCUGAGACGCGAAAGCGUGGGGAGCAAACAGG